GUGGGGAAUAUUGGACAAUGGGCGAAAGCCUGAUCCAGCCAUGCCGCGUGUGUGAAGAAGGUCUUCGGAUUGUAAAGCACUUUAAGUUGGGAGGAAGGGCAGUAAGUUAAUACCUUGCUGUUUUGACGUUACCGACAGAAUAAGCACCGGCUAACUUCGUGCCAGCAGCCGCGGUAAUACGAAGGGUGCAAGCGUUAAUCGGAAUUACUGGGCGUAAAGCGCGCGUAGGUGGUUUUGUAAGUUGGAGGUGACAUCCCCGGGCUCAACCUGGGAACUGACUCCAAAACUGCAUGACUAGAGUACGGUAGAGUGUAGUGGAAUUUCCUGUGUAGCGGUGAAAUGCGUAGAUAUAGGAAGGAACACCAGUGGCGAAGGCGACUACCUGGACUGAUACUGACACUGAGGUGCGAAAGCGUGGGGAGCAAACAGGAUUAGAAACCCCGGUAGUCC
rnacentral:rRNA from 1 species